rnacentral:rRNA from 1 species
GAUGAACGCUGGCGGCGUGCCUAAUACAUGCAAGUCGAGCGAACGGACGAGAAGCUUGCUUCUCUGAUGUUAGCGGCGGACGGGUGAGUAACACGCGGAUAACCUACCUAUAAGACUGGGAUAACUUCGGGAAACCGGAGCUAAUACCGGAUAAUAUUUUGAACCGCAUGGUUCAAAAGUGAAAGACGGUCUUGCCGUCACUUAUAGAUGGAUCCGCGCUGCAUUAGCUAGUUGGUAAGGUAACGGCUUACCAAGGCAACGAUGCAUAGCCGACCUGAGAGGGUGAUCGGCCACACUGGAACUGAGACACGGUCCAGACUCCUACGGGAGGCAGCAGUAGGGAAUCUUCCGCAAUGGGCGAAAGCCUGACGGAGCAACGCCGCGUGAGUGAUGAAGGUCUUCGGAUCGUAAAACUCUGUUAUUAGGGAAGAACAUAUGUGUAAGUAACUGUGCACAUCUUGACGGUACCUAAUCAGAAAGCCACGGCUAACUACGUG